UCACUUUGUUCUAUUAUGGAAGUCCAAAUGCGAAGUUCACUCUUUUUUUCUCCUUCAUCGUCCUCCUUUGUCGAUCUUGAAUUCCUUGUUUGUAUUCAUUGUAUGUAUUGCAAACAAAAAAAAGAUUUUUCAAAAGUUUUCAAAAGUAAUUUGAAUUUUUGAAUUUGUUUUAUGAAAAAUGAUUGGUGCCUCGACAAAGUGAGGCGCGAAUGCCUCGACGCAUGUGAUUCACGCUCUACGCUCAGCCCUCUCUUCUAUUUUACUGUAUUCAACCCCACAAAAUAGAACAAACCCAUUAACGAAGGCUCAAACCCAAAAAUGAAGCUUCCAUCUCUCUCUCUAUUGAAACCUAUAAAUUGAUUCGGUCCACCAAGCAAAGUGAAUUUAGCCAACCCAUCGGCCGGCGGUGGAAGGCUUUCAGUAUUUUUUGGCGACGGUGCUUUGUUUACCCAAGCCCUAGAUCCCCAGAUCUCCUCUAUUCCCAAGCUCUAGAUCCCCAAAUCUCCUUUAUUGACAACCAAGAAAAGUGUUAGGAGUAACAUGUCAAUGGCUUACACCUCGACUAGUUCAAGCAACGAUGGUCGUCUUUUUGAAAAUCGAGGUUGCAAAUGUGACAAAAAAAAGGCCAUUAAGGUAUCAGACUCACCGAAAAAUCCAGGGAGGCUUUACUUCAAGUGUGCAGAUGGCAAGUGCGAUUACUUUGCGUGGUGGGCGCCUACUAGCCAACUUGGCAAUGCAUCAAAUAUCCAAUGGAGGCCUAAUCCUAAUCAUAGGAACAAUGAAGAUGGCGGAAUGAAUGAUUUUGAAAGAAACUAUGAAGCUUUGGACAAAUUGGAGCGAAGAUUGGAGUGGCUUGAGGCAGAUGUAGGAACUAUGAAAUUCCUUACAAUGGCAAGCAUAGUAUAUAUUGGUUUUAACAUGCUAAUGUUGUUAAUUUGUUUAGUGUUAAAAUGAAUGUUGUAAACUUAUACAUUUGGCUUUGAGAGUUUUAGAGAGUUCUUGGUUUGGGUGUAUAUGUUAUUAUGCUAGUUUUGUGUUCUUGAACCAUCUAUAGCAAAGCAACAGUGGAGUUUUUGUUUGGGUGUAAAUGUUAUUGUGCUGGUUUUGUGUUUAA